rnacentral:rRNA from 1 species
GACGAACGCUGGCGGCGUGCCUAAUACAUGCAAGUCGAACGCUGAAGGCUGGCAUUUGUACUCUGUGGAAGUGGCGAGCGCGUGAGUAACACGUGAGUAACCUGCCCUUUAGUGUGGGGUAACUUCUUGGAACUCGAACUAAUACCGCAUAUAAACACCUUCUACAUGAGGUUUAUGUUAGAGUUUCGCCGUUGUAUCAUUCAAAGGUGACUCCGCGUUGUAUUAGCUAGUUGGUGAGGUACAGACUCACCAAGGCGAGGCCACAGAGCCGACGUGAGCGGGUGAUCGGCCACACUGGGACGGAGACACGGCCCAUAGGGCUACGGGAGGCAGCAGGAGGGAAUCGUGGGCAAGGGGCGGAAGUCUGAGCGAGAAACGCCGCGGGAGGGAAGAAGGUUGUCGGGUCGGAAAUGUCGGUUGUUAGGGAAGAACGAGGGUGAGAGUGGAAAGAUCAGCGAGUGACGGUAACGGCUCAGAAAGCGACGGCUAACUACGUG